rnacentral:rRNA from 1 species
GAGUUUGAUCUUGGCUCAGGAUGAACGCUGGCGGCGUGCUUAACACAUGCAAGUCGAGCGAAGCACUCUGUAUGAAGUUUUCGGAUGGAUUGCAGUUUGACUGAGCGGCGGACGGGUGAGUAACGCGUGGGCAACCUGCCUUACACAGGGGGAUAACAGUUAGAAAUGACUGCUAAUACCGCAUAACCCGCUAGGGCCGCAUGGCCCGGACGGAAAAGAUUUAUCGGUGUAAGAUGGACCCGCGUCUGAUUAGCUAGUUGGUGAGGUAAAGGCCCACCAAGGCGACGAUCAGUAGCCGACCUGAGAGGGUGAUCGGCCACAUUGGGACUGAGACACGGCCCAAACUCCUACGGGAGGCAGCAGUGGGGAAUAUUGCACAAUGGGGGAAACCCUGAUGCAGCAACGCCGCGUGAGUGAAGAAGUAUUUCGGUAUGUAAAGCUCUAUCAGCAGGGAAGAAGUGA